UUAGAGUUUGAUCCUGGCUCAGGACGAACGCUGGCGGCGCGCCUAACACAUGCAAGUCGAACGAGCGAGAGAGAGCUUGCUUUCUCGAGCGAGUGGCGAACGGGUGAGUAACGCGUGAGGAACCUGCCUCAAAGAGGGGGACAACAGUUGGAAACGACUGCUAAUACCGCAUAAGCCCACGGGUCGGCAUCGACCAGAGGGAAAAGGAGCAAUCCGCUUUGAGAUGGCCUCGCGUCCGAUUAGCUGGUUGGUGAGGUAACGGCCCACCAAGGCGACGAUCGGUAGCCGGACUGAGAGGUUGAACGGCCACAUUGGGACUGAGACACGGCCCAGACUCCUACGGGAGGCAGCAGUGGGGAAUAUUGCACAAUGGGGGAAACCCUGAUGCAGCGACGCCACGUGGAGGAAGAAGGUCUUCGGAUUGUAAACUCCUGUUGUUGAGGAAGAUAAUGACGGUACUCAACAAGGAAGUGACGGCUAACUACGUGCCAGCAGCCGCGGUAAAACGUAGGUCACAAGCGUUGUCCGGAAUUACUGGGUGUAAAGGGAGCGCAGGCGGGAAGACAAGUUGGAAGUGAAAUCCAUGGGCUCAACUCAUGAACUGCUUUCAAAACUGUUUUUCUUGAGUAGUGCAGAGGUAGGCGGAAUUCCCGGUGUAGCGGUGGAAUGCGUAGAUAUCGGGAGGAACACCAGUGGCGAAGGCGGCCUACUGGGCACCAACUGACGCUGAGGCUCGAAAGUGUGGGUAGCAAACAGGAUUAGAUACCCUGGUAGUCCACACCGUAAACGAUGACUACUAGGUGUUGGAGGAUUGACCCCUUCAGUGCCGCAGUUAACACAAUAAGUAAUCCACCUGGGGAGUACGACCGCAAGGUUGAAACUCAAAGGAAUUGACGGGGGCCCGCACAAGCAGUGGAGUAUGUGGUUUAAUUCGACGCAACGCGAAGAACCUUACCAAGUCUUGACAUCCUGCGACAGACAUAGAAAUAUGUUUUUCCUUCGGGACGCAGAGACAGGUGGUGCAUGGUUGACGUCAGCUCGUGUCGUGAGAUGUUGGGUUAAGUCCCGCAACGAGCGCAACCCUUAUGGUCAGUUACUACGCAAGAGGACUCUGGCCAGACUGCCGUUGACAAAACGGAGGAAGGUGGGGAUGACGUCAAAUCAUCAUGCCCUUUAUGACUUGGGCUACACACGUACUACAAUGGUCGGCAACAGAGGGAAGCGAAGCCGUGAGGCAGAGCAAACCCCAGAAACCCGAUCUCAGUUCGGAUUGCAGGCUGCAACUCGCCUGCAUGAAGUCGGAAUCGCUAGUAAUCGCAGGUCAGCAUACUGCGGUGAAUACGUUCCCGGGCCUUGCACUCACCGCCCGUCA
rnacentral:rRNA from 1 species